ensembl:lncRNA
CACUAACAAUUAGAUGUACACACAGACACACAAUUCAUGCUGGUUCUGCACAAAUACACAUUAAUAUUUAAAUGUACACACAGACCCACUAACAAUUAGAUCUACACACAGACACACUAACAAUUAGAUCUACACACAGACACACUAUCAUUUGGUUCUAAACAAAAACACACACUAAUAUUUAGAUGUUCACAAAGACACAAUAACAAUUAGAUGUACACAAAGACACAAUAACAAUUAGAUGUACACACAGACACACUAACAUUUGGUUCUAAACAAAGACACACACUAACAUUUAGAUGUACACAAAGACACAUUAUUAUUUAGAUGUACACACAGACACACUAACAAUUAGAUGUACACACAGACACACUAACAUUUGGUUCUAAACAAAGACACACACUAAUAUUUAGAUGUACACAAAGACACACUAACAUUUAGAUGAACACACACACACUAACAUUUAGAUGUACACACAGACACACUAUCAUUUGGUUCUAAACAAAGACACGCACUAAUAUUUAGAUGUACACUAAGACACAAUAACAAUUAGAUGUACACAAAGACACAAUAACAAUUAGAUGUACACACAGACACACUAACAAUUAGAUGUACACACAGACACACUAACAUUUGGUUCUAAACAAAGACACACACUAACAUUUAGAUGUACACAAAGACACAUUAAUAUUUAGAUGUACACAAAGACACAAUAACAAUUAGAUCUACACACAGACACACUAACAAUUAGAUCUACACACAGACACACUAACAAUUAGAUGUACACCCAGACACAUCCUGAUGAUCCUCCUCACGUCUCUUCUCCUUGUCUGCAGACCAACAGGACGUCAUCAGGACGCCACGUCACCGGGACGCCAUCAGGACACCACGUCAUCGGGACGCCAUCAGGACGCCAUCAGGACGCCAUCAGGACGCCAUCAGGACGCCGCGUCAACCCCUCAGGAGCAAAUCCAGAUCUACUCAUGACACACACACACACACACAGAUACCAACAGGACGCCAUCAGAACGCCACGUCACCGGGACGCCAUCAGGACGCCGCGUCAAGCCCUCAGGAGCAAAUCCAGAUCUACUCAUGACACACACACACACACAGAUAUUAUUAUAUUAUUUAAUAUUAUUAUUAUUGUUAAAUAUGUCGUCUGUUUAUUAUUUUAACAAUGAAAAUACAUUUUAAUAAAAAUAAAACCAAAUUAAUCCGUCUUGUUUU